rnacentral:misc_RNA from 1 species
UAAAGUGCGAUAUCAAGUGCGAUGUGCAUUAUCUGUGAGUCAUUAUAUCUUUGAACGCAACUUGCGCUGGGUAACCAGCAUGUCUAUUUGAGAACGACUAUAAUUUGUGAUUAUUCGCAAGUUGGCCUUGGUACUGUGCCUCGGCUGGAAGAUGGCAAGUGAGGGCGAAUGGUCGUCACUGUGAGUUGGAGCUUCGGCUUGUCGCAGUGGAUGCCAUCAACCCUAUAUAUCAACUAAACACGUCUCAAAUUAGGCAAGACGACCCGCUGAACUUAA